rnacentral:rRNA from 1 species
AAACCAACCGGGAUUGCCUUAGUAACGGCGAGUGAAGCGGCAAAAGCUCAAAUUUGAAAUCUGGUACCUUCGGUGCCCGAGUUGUAAUUUGGAGAGGGCAACUUUGGGGCCGUUCCUUGUCUAUGUUCCUUGGAACAGGACGUCAUAGAGGGUGAGAAUCCCGUGUGGCGAGGAGUGCGGUUCUUUGUAAAGUGCCUUCGAAGAGUCGAGUUGUUUGGGAAUGCAGCUCUAAGUGGGUGGUAAAUUCCAUCUAAAGCUAAAUAUUGGCGAGAGACCGAUAGCGAACAAGUACAGUGAUGGAAAGAUGAAAAGAACUUUGAAAAGAGAGUGAAAAAGUACGUGAAAUUGUUGAAAGGGAAGGGCAUUUGAUCAGACAUGGUGUUUUGUGCCCUCUGCUCCUUGUGGGUAGGGGAAUCUCGCAUUUCACUGGGCCAGCAUCAGUUUUGGUGGCAGGAUAAAUCCAUAGGAAUGUAGCUUGCCUCGGUAAGUAUUAUAGCCUGUUGGGAAUACUGCCAGCUGGGACUGAGGACUGCGACGUAAGUCAAGG